rnacentral:rRNA from 1 species
GCCAAUACUAGCCCUAAGCAUAACCAACACUAAUACCAAACCAACACACACUAAACCAUUCACCUACACAAAGUAUAGGCGAUAGAAAUUUUAAUCUGGCGCUAUAGACAUAGUACCGUAAGGGAAAGGUAGAAAACCACCCAAGCACAAAACAGCAAGGACUAACUCCUGUACCUUUCGCAUAAUGGAUUAGCUAGAAACAAUUUCACAAAGAGGACUACAAGCCAAAUCCCCCGAAACCAGACGAGCUACCCAAAAACAGCUAAAAGAGCGCACCCGCCUAUGUGGCAAAAUAGUGGGAAGAUUUCUGGGUAGAGGUGACAAGCCUACCGAGCCUGGUGAUAGCUGGUUAUCCAAGACAGAAUCUUAGUUCAACCUUAAGCUUACCUACAGAACUACCUAAUCCCCCUGUAAGCUUAACUGCUAGUCUAAAGAGGGACAGCUCUUUAGACACUAGGAAAAAACCUUACGGAGAGAGUAAAACCCUCAAUCACCAUAGUUGGCCUAAAAGCAGCCAUCAAUUAAGAAAGCGUUCAAGCUCAACACUAACCACCACAAAAAUACCAAACACAUAACUGAACUCCUCACACCACAUUGGAUUAAUCUAUCACCAUAUAGAAGCAAUAAUGCUAGUAUAAGUAACAUGAAUAUUUUCUCCGCUGCAUAAGCCUAAAUCGGACCGAAAGCCUCACCGAUAUUUAACAGCCAGGCAUAACAAGCACAAACAAGCCCAUGCCACCUUCACUGUUAACCCAACACAGGCAUGCCCCAAGGAAAGGUUAAAAAAAGUAAAAGGAACUCGGCAAACCCAAACCUCGCCUGUUUACCAAAAACAUCACCUCUAGCAUUACUAGUAUUAGAGGCACUGCCUGCCCAGUGACACACGUUUAACGGCCGCGGUACCCUGAC